GGAAGAGUGAGUGGCCCUGGAGCUGGGCCUUCCAGUAGGAGCAGGGUUUCUGCAGGGAAGCAGAGAGAGGAGCCCGGGAGAAGGCACACGGGUUCUUCUCAGCCACCGUCAACAACCCCAGCUGCUACCAAGAUGAGGAAACUGCCGCUCAGAGACGGCAGCCGACCCAGCCAAGGCCGCACAGCCAGGAUUCAAAGCCAUACCGCUCAGCUCCUGCCUCCAGGCUCUGCCUUUGCAUGUGGCUUCUCCUGGCUCCUGGACCCUUCCCCGGCCCUCCCAGCUGGCUGUGCUGUGACAGUGGGCGGGGGAGUGCCAAGGCUCUGCCCUGCCCCCCGCCCUUGGCAUCUCCGGUCAAUAUGGCACUCACAGCUCCCUGGGCAUGGACCCCCUCCUGCCAUCCCCACUUAAAGUGAUACUUUAAUAAAUUAUGCUUUUAUGUUAUUACACGUGGAGCUAUAAAAGCAGAGAGUGUGCGGCCGGGCUGAGGUAAGGCGCCCGCGACUUUCCAAUUUCCUGGUCUGGCCUGGCUCUGCUCCGCACCGUGAAUUUUUCAUUAAUGUGCACAGGUGACGCCACGGGGCAGCCGCAGGCCAGUCAUAGUUACAGAGGCAAUGGACACAUUGAAGAGAGGAAAGAAAACAAACACGACCUAGAAUCUACGGGGAAGGAAGCCUUCUAGACUCCAGACCUUCCGUGUCCAGAAGUGUCAGUCUUCACAUCUGUGAGGUGGGGCCAAGGAGUCCUGCCCUGCCAUGCUGGGUGUUGACUUCGGGGAAGGGGCCUUGGGAUGUCUAUGAGGAUGCAGCUGCUGCCUUCUGUCUUGGCAGAGACCAUGGCCACCCCAGGACACCGUGUUUGGUCCCCGCUGUGCUAAGUCUCCUCCAGGCACCAGCCAGGCAUCAGUGGAGCACAGCGGAAAUGGGUCCAAAGCCACCCACAGAGGCUCUGUGUGGUUCUUGGAUAAUUCUGGAAGGCUCUAGAGAAGGCAACAAGAAGGCAGGAACCCAGGGCCAGAAACUGGACAACUUGUGUGUGUUUGUCUGUAAAGUGGGGCUAGGAAUCCGCGUGGGGGUCAAAUGAGAACAGCUCUGCCUCCCAGCGCACAGUCCCGCGUCGAGGUCAGAGAGCCUCUUAGGCCCUGGCUCUUUUGGGAAAUCAUCCCAGGGGCUAAAGACAAAACUGAAGUUGAAAUAAACAUGGGGGUCCAAACACUCCAGAAUUCUGAGUGAGGGAAUCUCCUCCCAGGCUUCCACGCCAGGCCCGAAUGCAAACAAGAGGCAGCAGGGGUGGCUUGGGCCCCUCACACAGAAUUAGUGAGAUUAGCUGAGAACCAGAGCCCAGCAGAUGUCCCCUCUCUGGACUCGGUGACUCACUUGCCUCCCUGGUUGAGAAUCGUAUCCGGCUGGGCCUGAGCUGUCCUGGCUGGCGGGGAGCUGGACGCAGGGCAGAGGUCGGGGUAAACACCCGUGCUCCAGGCGGGAGGUCGGGAUGGGGGUGGUGACAAGGAGGACAACAUUUCCACUCAGCAGAAAGAAGAGCCUGAGCUGCCCUAGAGCCGGAGGCGCUGCCUGGAGAGGUCGUGAGGACCCGGUCCCAGAGGUGUGCAAGCUGGGUACCCUUUGAAGACUAUAGGAGGAUUCCAGUUGGCGCUGGGAGUACUCCAGGCAGGAUGCCAGUUCAGGUCCUUCGUGCAUGAGACUCUCCCAGAGAGGCAGGCAAACAUUUUCUGGGAAGGGCCAGAUAGUAAAUAUUUCAGGUUUUGCGGGUCAUCCUGCUAUCUCUGUUGCAACUGCUCAACUCUGCCACUGUAGCUUGGAAGCAGCUACAGACAAUACAUAAAUGAAUGGAUGUGGG
rnacentral:lncRNA from 10 species